rnacentral:lncRNA from 1 species
GGGCGGUGCUCGAGCUGAGCGCGAGAGGGCGGGAGAGCUCGUGGGGUGCGAGGGGAGCAGGACGCCCGGCCGGGCAGCAUGAGUCAGCAGCGGCCGGCGAGGAGAUUACCCAGUCUCCUCCUGCACCCGACGGAGGAGACCCCAUCAACGUGGAGGGCCUGCUGCCAUCAAAAAUAAGGAUUAAUUUAGAAGAUAAUGUACAAUAUGUGUCCAUGAGAAAUCUGCUCCCGGGGGUAUUCUUGACUUAAACAAGGUUGCAACGAAACUGGGAGUCCGAAAGCGGAGAGUGUAUGACAUCACCGAUGUCUUAGAUGGAAUCGACCUCGUUGAAAAGAAAUCCAAGAACCAUAUUAGAUGGAUAGGAUCUGAUCUUAGCAAUUUUGGAGCAGUUCCCCAACAAAAGAAGCUACAGGAGGAACUUGCUGACUUACCAGCAAUGGAAGAUGCUUUGGAUGAGUUAAUUAAGGAUUGUGCUCAGCAGCUGUUUGAGUUAACAGAUGACAAAGAAAAUGAAAGACUAGCAUAUGUGACCUAUCAAGACAUUCAUAGCAUUCAGGCCUUCCAUGAACAGAUCGUCAUUGCAGUUAAAGCUCCAGCAGAAACCAGAUUGGAUGUUCCAGCUCCCAGAGAAGACUCUAUCACAGUGCACAUAAGGAGCACCAACGGACCUAUCGAUGUCUAUUUGUGAGAAGUGGAGCAGGGUCAGACCAGUAACAAAAGGUCUGAAGGUGUCAGGACCUCUUCAUCUGAGAGCACUCAUCCAGAAGGCCCUGAGGAAGAAGAAAAUCCUCAGCAAAGUGAAGAAUUGCUUGAAGUAAGCAACUGAUGGCAUUUGAGAAUUUAUGUAUCACUGAGUUUUUUGGGAAUAUCUUCCUGGAGAAUUACGCAUCAAAUUUGAUUCUCAGAGCAAUAAAUUAUCCAUGAAGUGCUCUCGUUCUCAGUAGCGGCAUCAUGGCCAGUAGUGUCUUUGAGGAGUUCACCACUUAGAUUACUGAGUAAUUGUGGUUUCCACAUUUGAAAACAACUCCUUUUAUAAUUAUUCACUGCUUUUUGUCAGUGAAAUAGACAUCUUGCCUCCUGAAGUAGCUUCAUCACAGAGUGUCAUGAAGACAGACAGUCAG